CUUUAAAAAAUAAGAAUCCUUCAAAAUUCCCAUACUUCCCCCGAGGGCUUCAAGUGGUGACGAUUAUGGCACUUAAUGAAGACUUAGGCAAUUCUGUAAGCUCUUAAAGCCUGUGCCUUCUGACCUGGCUGAGCCACAUAUGCAUCAUGCAGUGAACACCUAGGCCAGCUCCAUGACCAGCAAAGCACAUUGAUUUUCAAAUGUAAAAACUGAUCUUGAAUUCCUGGAAUAGCUUCACAUGGU